rnacentral:rRNA from 1 species
ACUUUCAGUCGUGAGGAAGGUGUCAAGAUUAACAGCCCUGGCAAUUGACGUUAGCGACAGAAGAAGCACCGGCUAACUCCGUGCCAGCAGCCGCGGUAAUACGGAGGGUGCGAGCGUUAAUCGGAAUUACUGGGCGUAAAGGGCACGCAGGCGGUUAAUUAAGUUGGAUGUGAAAUCCCCGGGCUUAACCUGGGAAUGGCAUUCAAGACUGGUUAGCUAGAGUCUUGUAGAGGGGGGUAGAAUUCCAUGUGUAGCGGUGAAAUGCGUAGAGAUGUGGAGGAAUACCGGUGGCGAAGGCGGCCCCCUGGACAAAGACUGACGCUCAUGUGCGAAAGCGUGGGGAGCAAACAGGAUUAGAUACCCUGGUAGUCCACGCUGUAAACGAUGUCGAUUUGGAGGUUGUGGUCAAGAACUGUGGCCUCCGGAGCUAACGCGUUAAAUCGACCGCCUGGGGAGUACGGCCGCAAGGUUAAAACUCAAAUGAAUUGACGGGGGCCCGCACAAGCGGUGGAGCAUGUGGUUUAAUUCGAUGCAACGCGAAGAACCUUACCUACUCUUGACAUCCAGCGAAUCCUUUA